rnacentral:rRNA from 1 species
AGAGUUUGAUCAUGGCUCAGAACGUACGCUGGCGGCACGCCUAACACAUGCAAGUCGAACGAAGUAGCAAUACUUAGUGGCAGACGGGUGAGUAACAUGUAGGUAUCUACCCUUUGGCCUGGAAUAACACGAGGAAACUUGUGCUAAUACCGGAUAAGUCUUUACGGAGAAAGCUUUAUGCACCAUUGGAUGAGCCUGCAUUUGAUUAGUUUGUUGGUAGGGUAAUGGCUUACCAAGACUGUGAUCAAUAGCUGAUUUGAGAGGAUGAUCAGCCACAUUGGGACUGAGACACGGCCCAAACUCCUACGGGAGGCAGCAGUGGGGAAUCUUGCACAAUGGAGGAAACUCUGAUGCAGCGAUGCCGCGUGAGUGAAGAAGGCCUUUGGGUUGUAAAGCUCUUUCGUCGGGGAAGAAAAUGACUGUACCCGAAUAAGAAGGUCCGGCUAACUUCGUGCCAGCAGCCGCGGUAAUACGAAGGGACCUAGCGUAGUUCGGAAUUACUGGGCUUAAAGAGUUCGUAGGUGGUUGAAAAAGUUGGUGGUGAAAUCCCAGAGCUUAACUCUGGAACUGCCAUCAAAACUUUUCAGCUAGAGUUUGAUAGAGGAAAGCAGAAUUUCUAGUGUAGAGGUGAAAUUCGUAGAUAUUAGAAAGAAUACCAAUUGCGAAGGCAGCUUUCUGGAUCAUUACUGACACUGAGGAACGAAAGCAUGGGUAGCGAAGAGGAUUAGAUACCCUCGUAGUCCAUGCCGUAAACGAUGUGUGUUAGACGUUGGAAAUUUAUUUUCAGUGUCGCAGCGAAAGCGAUAAACACACCGCCUGGGGAGUACGACCGCAAGGUUAAAACUCAAAUGAAUUGACGGGGACCCGCACAAGUAGUGGAGCAUGUGGUUUAAUUCGAAGAUACGCGCAGAACCUUACCAACACUUGACAUGUUCGUCGCGACUUUAAGAGAUUAAAGUUUUCGGUUCGGCCGGACGAAACACAGGUGCUGCAUGGCUGUCGUCAGCUCGUGUCGUGAGAUGUUGGGUUAAGUCCCGCAACGAGCGCAACCCUCACUUUUAGUUGCCAUCAUUAAGUUGGGCACUCUGAAAGAACUGCCAGUGAUAAGCUGGAGGAAGGUGGGGAUGACGUCAAGUCCUCAUGGCCCUUACGUGUUGGGCUACACACGUGCUACAAUGAUAUUUACAAAAGGAAGCAAAACGGCGACGUUUAGCAAAUCCUAAAAAAAUAUCUCAGUUCGGAUUGCACUCUGCAACUCGAGUGCAUGAAGCUGGAAUUACUAGUAAUCGUGGAUCAGCGUGCCACGGUGAAUGCGUUCCCGGGUCUUGUACACACCGCCCGUCACACCAUGGGAGUUGGUUCUACCUUAAGGCAAGGUUUAAAACCCUUGACCACGGUAUAGUCAGCGACUGGGGUGAAGUCAUAACAAGGUAGCCGUA